AUUUCCUUCUUUCUUCAUUGGUUCAAAUUUCUAGUCAAUAUUCCUGUGCAAUGUACUUGCGGCUCUUUCUUUCUUUCUGUUUAUUAGUUGUCAUUUUCUUGUUAGUGAAUUGUGUCAUGGGCUGGAUGAUUGGCAGAGUGGCAACAAUGUACACCUACAAACCUGAAGUAUCAUCUUCUGUUCAACAUCCCAAGACCAGUAUCUUAUAGUUAAAGACUUCCUAUUCCGUCCAUGAUUUUCUUCAGUGUGCAUGUUUUAGAGCCGGUUAUGAUUCCUUGCAGUCAGAGUAGACGGUC
rnacentral:lncRNA from 1 species